ensembl:snRNA U1 U1 spliceosomal RNA
GUACUGACCCAGCCGGGAGAUACCAUGAUCACGAAGGUGGUUUUCCCAGGGCGAGGCUCAUCCAUUGCACCCCGGAUGUGCUGACCCCUGCGAUUUCCUCAAGUGUGGGAAACUUGUGGUAGUGGGGGACUGCGUUUGCGCUUUCCCCUG